AAACGACGCAACGAUAUGCAACAUAAGAAGCGUACAGAGAGAUCAAUAUCUGAACCGUUGAAUUAAUGGAAUCGCAAUCCAUGAAUGCAAAGAAGGUUGAAGAAUGCGAUGAUGAACUCUGAAAAUGCGAUGCUAAUUGUUAUGAAAACAAGACGCUGUUGAGGUUGAAAACGCGAUGAUGUUAUUAAAUUCCAAAACACGAUGCCGAAUCCGUGAAUUCUGAAAUCGCGUUGUUGUUUCAUCUUUUCUACAUAAUCGAUUUUCUUUUUCCUUUUGGUUUCAACUAUGUGAACGCAUUUCCUUGUUUUUUGUAGCAUUGUAUUGGGUUUGGUCCUAAGGCCCAAACGGUGUUGUUUCAUUGCACACGCCUCUACCAUGGGCAUGCACUCCCUCCUUCAUGUUCAUAUUAAUUAAUUCCAUUUAAUCUAGUUAAAUUGAUCGAUUUUAA